rnacentral:rRNA from 1 species
AACGAACGCUGGCGGCAUGCCUAACACAUGCAAGUCGAACGCGUGUAGCAAUACACGAGUGGCGGACGGGUGAGUAACGCGUGGGAACCUGCCCAGUGGUAGGGAAUAACUGCGGGAAACUGCAGCUAAUACCCUAUACGCCCUUUGGGGGAAAGAUUCAUCGCCAUUGGAGGGGCCCGCGUCGGAUUAGCUAGUUGGCGGGGUAAUGGCCCACCAAGGCAACGAUCCGUAGCUGGCUGAGAGGAUGAUCAGCCACACUGGGACUGAGAUACGGCCCAGACUCCUACGGGAGGCAGCAGUGGGGAAUAUUGGACAAUGGGGAAACCCUGAUCCAGCAAUGCCGCGUGAGUGAAGAAGGCCUU